rnacentral:lncRNA from 1 species
CCAACAACACAAAAAAUGAUGAGCUAGCAUUGCCUCAAAGACCAAUUACAAGGUUGAGAUCCAAGAAGUUGAAGGAGGCACUUCAAGGAUUCAUGAAGGGAUAUGUUGAAGCUUUGCAAGUUAUUUUAAAGUUGAAGAACAAUCUAACCAUUCCUAGUCAAUUAGACCGAAUGUGACCUUAUUAACGGUUCAAAUUUUGUAUUUGCAUCAAUAAAUUCUUCAUCACUACUUCAGUAGUGGGUAGUUAACCAGUAGUGGAUAGUGGUAUAAAUCAUGAGUCUAUGCAUAGUAGUGGAUAGUUGCAAAGAUUUGGGUCUUAUGAUGCUGUCACUAUGUUCUAUUUAGUUGUUUUGUUUGUAUAGAUUUUUUUCCUAAUUGGACUAGAUUGCCCUAAGGUAUAUAAAGCAUCUCUUUUUUCAUAUUAUGGACAAAUUAUCAUUAUUUAAUACAAUUACUUUACGCGAUUCUUCUUUGAGAGCUGUAGAGAGAUCUUAGUUCUUGAUAUUGUAUUAAGAAUAAGGUUUGAUAGUAACUUGUAUAGUUCUUAUUCAUGUUGCUCCUAAAAUCAAUCAGUUAUAAAUGUUCUUAAUUGCAUGUUAAUUAAAGGUGUUUUAGAUUGUAGAAUUAUUUUUUGAGCUAAGUUCUUUUUAUUUGGGUAUGUGUCGUUUCGGUCUCUAAGUGGCUGGAGUUUUGCAUCAAUUGGUAUCAGAGCUAGGCUUAGUGAUAAUUUUUUUAAUUAUCCUUUUGUGUUUUUGUAUUCAAUUUUGUGUUCAUUAUUGGUUAAAUAUCACUUUGGUUAUUUGGUGUAUGUUCUUCAAUUUUUUUCGUGAUCUUUCCGUUUAGGAUACCUAUUAGAGUUGAAUUCAUUGUUUAGUUGCUGUUCAAAUCGAAUUUUACCCUAAUUUUUGUUUAGGUUGAAUUACUAUCUUUAAUGACUUAGUUUGUGAUUUCUGCCCUAAUUCGUACGUUGCUGUUCUAUUACUCUUAGAAUAGUAUUUCUAGUGUUUUACUUCUGUCCAUAUAAAAAAAACACCAGAAAGAAGAAAAAAAAGAAAAAAAAAUUCUGCAACUUUGAGUCAAUUAUUGAAAUUUCGUUUUAAUAUUGACACCUACUGAUAUAAAUCAUAUUUCAUAUACCUUGAACAUAUUUCUGGACUUGAAAUUUGAAAUACAUAUUUGGGGUAGGUUUAGGGCCAAUUUGAAUAGUAUUUUUAAAAAAUAGUUGUACUUAAUACUUUGUGUUUUAAGUUUUUAUUUUGUUUACUUGCUUUGAAUUAUUUUUGAUGAGUCAAUAUUAAUAUCAAUUAACCUAGGAUUACAUGCUUAGAGAAAACUUCGUGUUAAACACAUCUGUCUCGUCAAUUUUGAUUUUUGGUUUGUCAAUUCGGUGUCUUUCUGUCUAUUCGUUCCUUACACUUAGUUUGACGAAUUGCACAUUGUUGAACAUCUAAUUACACUUAGUACAUGAAAUUUUACUCUUGUGUGCUAAAUCAAUCCGUUUGUUCAUUUUGGUCUGUUUGCAUCUAGUGUUAUUUCCUAUCUUUUCUUGUUAGGUCUUUCUUUGCUUUUCUUGUUAGGUCUUUCUUUGCUUUUUUUGUUAUUUGAAUCAUACAAGUUUGGCUUAUUGAGUUUAUAUUCUGAAGUCAAUUUUGAAAUAUCAAGUGAGUGCUUAAAAGUUAAAUAUGUGAGUUGAGAGAAUUAUGAAUUUUUGUACAAUGUUUGGGCAUAAUUGUAAUACCCGGCUGGACCCCGGCAUCAGAAUUCCUACUUUCCGGCGGAAUCUCCGUUGGAAUCCGGGAUUCAUGGAUGUCAGAGCCUUCUAGAGGGGAAAAAUAGAGGGUUUUGCAAAAUGUUUGUACAUGUUUUUAUGUUUUUGCUUAGGACAAUUGAGUUUUGAAAAGGAAAAGACCAAAGAGGCAAUUGCCAAGUUCGGACGCCGAAAGUUGCAUGCUUUUGCUGCCCCCGAAUCCCCACUUCGGUUGCCGAAGGUGGAGGAGGUUUGCAUGCAGCUUUGGCCGCCAAAGGGGAGUCGGUUGGCCACCUAUAAAAGCCCCUUUGACUGGAAAUGGAGUAUGCUUUCACUCUCUUUUCGUGCAAAGGUAGGUUUUUUAUCCUCUUUUGGUUAUUUUCAUCUUGUUCUUCCAAAUCAUGCAAGCUUUAAUGAGUUUGGAACUUGAUUUUUGAAGUUUUGAGCAAAAGAAGGCAAAGUUGAAAGACUUGGAGCUUUUGGAUCGUUUUCCUCUCCAUCUCUGAGUUAGGACCAUCAAUCCUCUCGAUCUUCAAGAGGUAAGCCUGGAUCCUCACUUCCCCUUAUGUUUUAAGCAUGUUUUAAAGGGUUUAAGAGAGUUUUAUGGCAUGUUUAGAGUGGAUCUAGAAGUUGGAGUAUAUGUUGGUCAUAUGCUAUAUGUGAUGCUAUGAUGUUGUUUGAGGAGUUUGAACUAGUUUUUAAGCUCCUAUAUGUAUGGAUAAGGGUAUAUACAUGGUUAUAAGAGGUUGGUUGCAUGUUGAGCGUGUUUGGUAAGGUUUUGGAGGCUGAAUAUGCAUGUGUGACCCGAGUUCUGCCUUCUUGGAGAACUCAGGUUCGGCCGCCGAAGCAAGGUUCGGCCUCCGAACCCCUUAUGGAUGCUGUUUUGGCCGCCUAAACUCGCCCCCGAAGGUUUUCACUUUCGGCUCUAGAGGGAGUUUCGGCCGCCGAACAUGCCGCCGAAGGUGGGUGACUUUUGGCUCUGAAAGGUCUUGCAGCCCCCGAACCUUGCCCCCGAAAGUUUAGACUUUCGGAUCUGGAAGGGACUUUCGGCCGCCGAAGGUGCCGCCGAAAGUGCAUGAGUUUCGGAUCUGGAGAGGGGUUCGGCCGCCGAAGGUGCCGCCGAAAGACCCCUGUCCAGCCUUCCUUUGCUUGCUUUUCCAUGAUUGAUUGAGAUGUUUUAGGGGGUUUUUGGGGGAAUGUUUAGAGUUAUAUUUGAGUAUGUCGGUACCUCAUUUGAGUCCACCUGUGUAGGUUCGGACCUGAGGAACCAAGGAGGCCCUCAGUGUUAGCUGGUUCAGAGGUAUUCCAGCGUCUACUAGAUGUGAGUAGAACUGAACUAUAUUUUCACUUAACUAAAUUUUGAUCCUUAGAUCAGUCUUUGCAACUGAUGAUGGAGAUCUCUAUGGUAACAAGUAGGCACAUAUUUCUUCCUCAUGAUUCUCUUCAUCUAUUCCCAAGUAGCAAUAGGUAACUCUCCAUUCCUUCUCCUAUAUUUCACAAGCUCAUCCCACCAUAUUAGUGCAUAAUCUGAAAAAUUAAGACCAGUAAGUUUUACCUCUUUAUCAUCGGAAUAGCUUUGACAGUUAAAAAUCAUCUCCACUUUACUCUCCCACUCUAAAUAGGCAUCAACAUUAGCUUACCAUUGAAGCUUGAAAUUUUCAUCUUUAUGCAGUUCAUAUUAUUAUCUACAUAGGGUACACGAUCAUUCAACCUUCUGGCUCAGAAAGGAGCUGACUGUGCCUUAUUUUCCUAUUCAUAAGAUAGAUCGUGUGUAUCAUCAUCCUCCUAAUUAGACUUGCCCUUUGAAAAUCUAAGGUUGUCCUCAAGGUUGUCCUCAAGGUUAUCCAUUCUCAAAUUUAGCUUUUGAAAGCUAUCCAUGAAAGUUUUAUGCAUAACUUUAAGAUCAAGCGUAGAGUUAGAAGUAUCACCAGUAUUAUUGUAACGACCCAGAGACCGGACCGCUACCAGCGCUAGGAUCCAGAUCGGCUUAAGGCCGCUGGGACCCAUAGCAAGCCUGCUAUGCACUCUGUAAACCUGGUAAAUCCCAUACAUGAUCAACCAUUUCCAUAAAAAAUUUUGAAACUUUUCAUCUACCAAGCUUAACCUGUACAUGUACAAUUACUCUGUAAACAUAAAACCCCAUACUAGAGCCCUCAUCAAAUGCUUUAGUUGGGUCAUCAUUCAUAUAUUAAGCUUGGUCCUCAACAUAUAUCAUUAUAAAUCAUAAUAAUAUACAGAUCAUGUACAAAAGGAAAUAACCAGCUCUAGGGCCAAGCACAACUCUAUCACCAAUAUACAUUACAUGACUCUAUAUCAUUUUACACUACAUGUCCACUACUGAACUAUUACAUAACUUUACUCCGGUAGCUAUCCCAUGCUAUCUCUGGCCCUGCAAACCUGGGGGUUAAGGAGAGGGGUGAGCUACUAGAGCCCAGUGAGUAGAGCACUAAGAAAAUCAAUAAAACAUGCCUCCAUGAAAUGCAUCACAUCACAAACAAGUCAUAUCAAGGAUGAACUUGUCACCAAUAGUCCUCAUACAUAUCAAUAAUGCCAGGGCGUAGCAUGGGCUCUUGGUCUUUCUCAUAACAUAACAAUAACACUAUCAUGCCAGUGGCGUAGAAUGGGCCUCUGGUCUUUCUCUUACAUGGUGCCAGGGCGUAGCAUGGGCCUCUAGACUUUCUCAUAUAGCAUGCCAGGGCGUAGAAUGGGCCUCUGGACUUCCCUCAAGGACUAAAGGAUCAUCCAACAUUCAUCCACAUCCAUAACAUAUAAUGCAAUGCAACAUAUUCGUGAGUUCGAAUGCAAUACAUCCUAAUACACAUGGCAUUUAUGAUGCAUGAGUCAUGCUAAAACCUUUUAGUUAAGUGAAAAUAUAGUUCAGUUCUACUCACCUCUAGUAGACGCUGGAAUACCUCUGAACCAGCUAACACUGAGGGCCUCCCUGGUUCCUCGGGUCCGAACCUACACAGGUGGACUCAAAUGAGGUGCUGACAUAAUCGAAUAUAACUCUAAACAUUCCCCCAAAAACCCCCUAAAACAUCUCAAUCAAUCAUGAAAAAGCAAGCAAAGGAAGGCUGGACAGGGGUCUUUCGGCGGCACCUUCGGCGGCCGAAAGUCCCUUCCAGAUCCGAAAGUCUAAACUUUCGAGGGCAAGGUUCGGGGGCUGCAAGACCUUCCAGAGCCGAAAGUCACCCACCUUCAACGGCACGUUCGGCGGCCGAAACUCCCUCUAGAGCUGAAAGUGAAAACCUUCGGGGGUGAGUUUAGGCGGCCAAAACAGCAUCCAUAAGGGGUUCAGCGGCCGAACCUGAGUUCUCCAAGAAGGCAGAACUCGGGUCACACAUGCAUAUUCAGCCUCCAAAACCUUACCAGACACGCUCAACAUGCAACCAACCUCUCAUAACCAUGGAUAUACCCUUAUCCAUGCAUAUAGGAGCUUAAAAACUAGUUCAAACUCCUCAAACAACAUCAUAGCAUCACAUAUAGCAUAUGACCAACAUAUACUCCAACUUCUAGAUCCACUCUAAACAUGCCAUAAAACUCUCUUAAACCCUUUAAAACAUGCUUAAAACAUAAGGGGAAGUGAGGAUCCAGGCUUACCUCUUAAAGAUCGAGAGGAUUGAUGGUCCUAACUCAGAGAUGGAGAGGAAAACGAUCCAAAAGCUCCAAGUCUUUCAACUUUGCCUUCUUUUGCUCAAAACUUCAAAAACCAAGUUCCAAACUCAUUAAAGCUUGCAUGAUUUGGAAGAACAAGAUGAAAAUAACCAAAAGAGGAUAAAAAACCUACCUUUGCACGAAAAGAGAGUGAAAGCAUACUCCAUUUCCAGUCAAAGGGGCUUUUAUAGGUGGCCAACCGACUCCCCUUCGGCGGCCAAACCUGCAUGCAAACCUCCACCACCUUCGGCAGCCGAAGUGGGGAUUCGGGGGCAGCAAAAGCAUGCAACUUUCGGCGGCAGAACUUGGCAAUUGCCUCUUUGGUCUUUUCCUUUUCAAAACUCAAUUGUCCUAAGCAAAAACAUAAAAACAUGUACAAACAUUUUGCAAAACCCUCUGUUUUUCCCCUCUGGAAGGCUCCAACAUCCAUGAAUGUCGGAUUCCAACGGAGAUUCCGCCGGAAAGUAGGAAUUCUGAUGCCGGGGUCCAGUCGAGUAUUACAUUCUCCCCCCCUUAAGAACAUUCGUCCUCGAAUGUUCCUCUCUACCAUAAGCAUACAAUAACCAUAACAUGAACAUAGCAUAAAAACACAAAAGAGAACAUAAACUCUAACCUCAAAAGAGGUAGGGAUAUUGCUGGAGCAUAGACUCCCGUGUCUCCCAGGUACACUCUUCAAGAUUAUGGUGGUUCCAAAGGACUUUCACCAUCGGGAUCUCCUUGUUUUUUAGCUUCCGGAUCUGCGUGUCUAGAAUUCGCACUGGCUGCUCAACAUAGGUGAGAUCACCAAGGAUCUCUACAUCAGGCUCACUACGAACCUUGCCCGGAUCUGACACGAACUUUCAUAGCAUAGAAACGUGGAAAACCAGAUGGAUUCUUUCCAUAGAAGUAGGUAAAUCUAACUUAUACGAUACAUUCCCAAUCUUCUGCAAGAUCUCGAAGGGUCCAAUGUACCGUGGAGCUAAUUUACCUUUCUUCCUAAAACGAACCACCCCUUUCAUUGGAGACCCUUUGAGCAACACCAACUCUCCCUUCUGAAACUCUAGCUGCUUCCUAUGAACAUCUGCAUAGCUUUUCUGCCGACUCACAGCAGUUUUGAUUCUUUCUCUGAUCAUAGGCACUACCCUGCUGGUGAUUUCAAUCAACUCAGGCCCAGCUAAGGACCUAUUUCCAACUUUUUCCCAGCAAACAGGUGACCUGCACUUCCUCCCAUGAAGAGCUUCAUAUGGAGCCAUCCCUAUGAUAGCAUGAUAGCUGUUAUUGUAGGCAAACUCCACCAAAGAUAGAUGCUGCCUCCAAGUACCGCCAAAAUCUAGCACACACAUUCUGAGCAUAUCUUCAAUAGUCUGGAUGGUCCUCUCUGACUGUCCGUCAGUCUGUGGAUGGAAAGCAGUACUAAAGUCCAACCUUAUGCCCAUCGCAUUCUGCAGACUCCGCCAAAACCUGGAGGUGAACUGGGGUCCUCUAUCAGACACAAUUGAAAUAGGAGCCCCAUGCAACCUAACCACCUCAUCAACAAACACCUGGGCCAACUUGUCUACAGAGUAGCCACUCCUGACCGGGAUGAAAUGAGCAGAUUUGGUCAGUCUGUCCACAAUCACCCAUAUGGAGUGUAGUCUGUUCGAUACUGCCGGUAACUCCACUACAAAAUCCAUAGCUAUAUUCUCCCAUUUUCACUCUGGAAUCGGCAGUGGGUUAAGCAUUCCAGCCGGCUUCUGAUGUUCCAGCUUCACCCUCUGACAUACCUCGCAAGCUGACACAAACUGUGCCACCUCUCUCUUCAUGGCUGGCCACCAAUAAACUCGUUUCAAAUCCUGGUACAUCUUGGUGGCUCCCGGGUGAACACUGUACCUGGCACUAUGAGCUUCCCUCAUAAUGUCUCCUUUUAGGCUCACAUCAUCUGGUACACAUAACCUGGUUCCAUAGCGGAGGAUCCCUGUAUUGUCAAAUCUAAACUCUUCAUUGCUGCCUAACUGAACAGUCCUGGCAAUCUUUAUUAACUCUGGGUCCUCGUGCUGUUUUUGAGCCACCUGCUCCAGAAAUACAAGCGUCACUCUCAUCUGAGCGAUCAAGGCACCUGUACCAGACAACUCGAACUGCAACCCCUCAUCAAGGAGCUUAUAGAAUUCUCUCACCACCGGUCUUCUCUCUACUGCAAUAUGGGACAAACUGCCAAAUGAUUUCCGGCUUAGGGCAUCUGCCACAACAUUUGCCUUACCCGGAUGGUACUGAAUAGUACAAUCAUAGUCACUAAGCAGUUCUACCCACCUCCUCUGCCUCAAAUUCAACUCUCUCUAACUCAAGAUGUACUGCAAGCUUUUAUGAUCUGUGAAGAUCUCACAUUUAACCCCAUAAAGGUAAUGCCUCCAUAUCUUAAGUGCAAAGAUCACAGCUACCAUCUCUAGGUCAUGUGUAGGAUAAUUCAACUCAUGCUUCUUCAACUGCCUAGAAGCAUAAGCAAUUACCCUCUCAUUCUGCAUCAACAUACAACCUAGUCCCACUCUGGACGCAUCACAAUACACUGUGAAGUCUGCAUUGCUGACAGGCAGAGCUAAGACUGGUGCUGAAGUCAACCUUUCCUUGAGCUAUUCAAAACUUUCUUCACAUUGGUCAGACCACACAAAAGUCUAAUUCUUCUUUGUGAGUCUAGUCAUAGAAGCAGCAAUCUUAGAGAAGUCCUGAACGAACCUCUUGUAAUAGCCUGCCAAACCCAGAAAACUCUUAACCUCUGACACUGUCGUGGGUCUCGGCCAGUUGGCUACAACUUCUAUCUUCUUGGGGUCUACUUCAAUGCCUUGGUCUGAUACAACAUGCCCCAAGAAAGAAAUACUCCUUAACCAGAACUCACACUUGGAGAACUUGGCAUACAAGCCAUGCUCCCUCAAGGUCUGCAACACUAGCCUCAGAUGAUGGGCAUGCUCUUCUGCAUUCCUGGAAUACACUAAAAUAUCUUCUCUGCUUGUCCUGCUAGACCUUGCCCUUGGUAAAGCAGGGGGACGGGCAUCCAUGCCCUCAUCCACUGGUGGAACUCCAGUUAAUCGUGCAGAUCGACGAGUACCUCGCAUUCUGAAUUCUGAAAACACAAUCAUAUACAUAAACAUUAGCAUCAUUUGGUCCAUUUCAAACACAUGAACCCCAUAACAUGCAUAACAUAUCAUGAAUGCACAAGCAAACAGUCAUGGCAUUUCAUAGCAUCAGCAAGACAGGACUCUACAUCCUAUCCUAGUGGACAUGAUUUUUUUUUUGCCUAUUGUGCUUGCCCUUCUAUGACAUCUAUGAGCCCAACACUCUUUAGGUCCGACCAUCUGAACCUAGGGCUCUGAUACCAAUCUGUAAUGACCCGGAGACCAGACCGCUACCAGCGCUAGGAUCCAGAUCGGCUUAAGGCCGCCGGAACCCGUAGCACGCCUGUUAUGCACUCUGUAAACCUGGUAAAUCCCAUACAUGAUCAACCAUUUCCAUAAAAAUUUUUGAGACUUUUCAUCUACUAAGCUUAACCUGUACAUGCACAAUUACUCUGUAAACAUAAAACCCCAUACUAGAGCCCUCAUCAAAUGCUCUAGUUGGGUCAUCAUUCAUAUAUUAAGCUUGGUCCUCAACAUAUAUCAUUAUAAAUCAUAAUAAUAUACAAAUCAUGUACAAAAGGAAAUAACCAGCUCUAGGGCCAAGUACAACUCUAUCACCAAUAUACAUUACAUGACUCUAUAUCAUUGUACACUACAUGUCCACUCCUGAACUAUUACAUAACUUUACUCCGGUAGCUAUCCCAUGCUAUCUCUGGCCCUGCAAACCUGGGGGUUAAGGAGAGGGGUGAGCUACUAGAGCCCAGUGUGUAGAGCACUAAGAAAAUCAAUAAAACAUACCUCCAUGAAAUGCAUCACAUCACAAACAAGUCAUAGCAAGGAUGAACUUGUUAGCAAUAGUCCUCAUACAUAUCAAUAAUGCCAGGGCGUAGCAUGGGCUCCUAGUCUUUCUCAUAACAUAACAAUAACACUAUCAUGCCAGUGGCGUAUAAUGGGCCUCUGGUCUUUCUCUUACAUGGUGCCAGGGCAUAGCAUGGGCCUCUGGACUUUCUCAUAUAGCAUGCGUAGAAUGGGCCUCUGGACUUCCCUCAAGGACUAAAGGAUCAUCCAACAUUCAUCCACAUCCAUAACAUAUAAUGCAAUGCAACAUAUUCGUGAGUUCGAAUGCAAUACAUCCUAAUACACAUGGCAUUUAUGAUGCUAAGGUGGAAAGACAAAGAGGCCAAAGAAGAUGGGGGAGUAAUAGGGCUACUCAAAACUCCAACCACAAAUGGAGUUUCAAAUGGAACACCAAAGCUGAUCCUAAAAGGUUUGAUAAGUCUUCAACUAAAAAAGGCACGUUAUUUUCCAAAGAAAUAUCUAACUCUCAUAGUAAAAAUGAACCAGCCCUUAAAUCUAAUAGGACUAGAGAUAUUCAGUGCUUUAAAUGUAAAGAGCAUGGGCAUUAUGCCAAUGAGUGUGUUAAUAAACAUGUCAUGAUAGUGAGGGGAGAUAAGAUAGUCUCUGAAACUGAUUCUGAUUCUAAUGAAAUGCCAUCUCUAGAAGAUCGUUUUGAUGUAGAGAUAGAAAAGUAUCCUAUUCAGGGAGAAUCCUUAGUGAUAUUGCGUACUUUAAAUAUUUCUAUUAAAGAAGAGAAACUUGAACAGUGCAAAAACAUCUUUCACACUCGUUGUUUGAUAGGUGGUAAAGUCUGUUCCAUGGUAAUAGAAUUGGGUAGGCAAGUUAAUUGUGCUAGUACUAUUUUAGUUGAUAAAUUUGGACAAGAAACUAUUAAAUACCCUAAUCCUUACAGACUUCAAUGGUUGAAAAAUAGUGGUGAGGCAAAGGUAACAAAGUAAUGUAAAGUGCCAUUUUCUAUUGGUAAGUAUGUAGAUGAGGUUAUUUGUGAUAUUAUACCCAUGCAGGCUGGAUAUAUUUUGUUAGGUAAAUCAUGGUAAUUUGAUAGGCGUAUAAUUCAUGAUGGGUAUAGUAAUAGUUUUUUUAUUUUUUACUUUCCUUGGUAUAUACUUGUACUAUUAUCUCCUAAAGAUAUAUAUGUAUAUCAAGUAAAAUUACAACAAUCUACUAAAUUGGAUAAGGGAGGUGAGAUAAGUAAAAAGAAUAAAGGAAAAGAGGCUAGUAGUAAAAAGAAAGUUCGAAUGGCCCAAAGGAGACUGACUGCAUGGGUAAGGGUAAAAAUGAGAGAUGUGUAGGAGAGAAAACAUUAGUGAGUGUAGAGGUAAAAGGAGAGCUGAGUGAGAAGAGUGAAAAAUUCAGCAAGUCUUCCUUUUAUUGUAAAGAGAAAGAGUUGAAGAAAGCAUACUUAGGGAAGAGAGCUUUGAUUAUAUUGCAUUUUAGUUUGAACUUUAUGAUUGAGAUUGACCCUACAGAUAAAUUGCCUAGUUCUUUUUCUAAGUUAUUACAGGAUUUUAUGGAUGUAUUUCCUGAGGAGGUGCCAUCUGGAUUGUUGCCCACUAGGGGAAUAGAAGAUCAGAUCGAUUUUGUUCCUGGAGCUUAAAUUCCAAAUCAUCUAGCUUAUAGGAGUAAUCUUGAGAAGACGAAGAAAUUACAAAGGCAAGUUGAUGAGUUACUGGCUAAGGGACAUAUCAAGAAAAGCAUCAGUCCAUGCGCAAUGCCUAUUUUGCUGGUUCUAAAGAAAGAUAGAACAAUUUACAUGUGUAUUGAUUGUCGUGCCAUCAACAAAAUCACUGUAAAGUAUGCCAUCAUAUUCCUAGAUAUGCUUGAAGAUUAUGUGGUGCUAUUUUCUUUACCAAAAUUGAUUUGAAAAGUAGUUAUCAUCAAAUUAGGUUAGAUUUAGGUGAUGAGUGGAAAACUGCCUUUAAGACUAAGUACGGUUUAUAUGAAUGGUUAAUGAUACCUUUUGGAAUAACUAAUGCACCUAGCACAUUUAUGAGAUUAAUGAACCAUGUUUUACAUGAUUACUUAGGUAAGUUUAUGGUUGUGUAUUUUGAUGAUUAUUGAUUUAUAGCCGAAACUUGGAUGAUUAUAUUAGGUAUGUUGAACUUGUUCUAGAGAAGUUGUGUGAGCAUGAAUUGUAUGUUAAUCUUAAGAAUUGCAUAUUUUGUACUGAUAGUGUCAUAUUCAUAAGAUUCGUUGUUAGUUCACGUGGAGUUGAGGUAAAUACUGAAAAGGUUAAGGCUAUCCAAGAAUGGCCUAUACCUAAAAAUGCUAGUGAGGUGAGAUCCUUUCAUAGAUUAGCAAGUUUAUAUAGGAGGUUUAUUAGAGAUUUUAGCACUAUUGCUGCACCUCUAAAUGAGAUCAUUAAAAAGGCUAUUGGGUUUAAAUGGGGUAAAGAAUAAGAACUUGUAUUUAAUACAUUAAAAGAAAAACUUACUACUGCUCUUGUUCUAAGGUUACCUGAUUUUUUUAAAACCUUUGAAAUCAAAUGUGAUGCUUCUAGGAUUGGUAUUGGUGCUAUUCUUAUGUAGGAAGGCCGACCUAUAGCAUAGUUCAUUGAGAAGCUAGGUGGCGCACAUUUGAACUAUUUCACCGAUGACAGAGUUGUAUGCACUAAUUAGGGCUCUUGAAGUUUGAAAACACUACUUGCUGCCUAAUGAGUUCGUAAUUCAUGCCGACCAUUAGUCUCUCAAACACUUGAAGGGACAAGGUAAGUUGAACAAGCGGCACAGUAAGUAGAUUAAGUAUCUCGAAAUCUUUCCUUAUGUGAUUAAAUACAAGCAAGGUAAGAAGAAUGUGAUUGCUGAUGCAUUAUCUAGACGUUAUGCAUUGAUUUCCAUGAUUAGUUCUAAGUUAUUAGGGUUUGAGCAUUUAAAAGAUAUGUAUGAGAAUGAUACUAAUUUUUCUGAUGUAUUUAAGGCAUGUGAACUUGGAGUGUUUAACAAAUUUUAUUUGCAUAAUGGGUUUCUUUUUAGGGGAAAAUAAAUAUGCAUACCCAAUUGUUUGGUACGUGAGUUGCUUAUUAGAGAAUCACAUUCAAGAAGGUUAAUGGGAUAUUUUGGUGUGCAAAAUACUUUAGACAUGUUGAAUGAAUACUUUUAUUGGCCUAAUAGGCGAAAAUAUAUAGAGAAAAUUUGUGCUUAAUGCUUCGCAUGUAAUAGGCUAAAUCUAAAUCCUUGCCACAUGGGUUGUAUACUCCUUUGCUUGUACCUACUGAAUCUUGGACUGAUAUAUCUAUGGAUUUUAUGAUAGGUUUACCUAGGACAAAAAGCGGUAGAGGUUUUAUGUUUAUUUUUAUAGAUCAGUUUAGUAAGAUGGCACAUUUUAUUCCAUGUUAUAGAACUGAUGAUGCAACGAAUAUAGCUGAUUUAAUUUUUAGGGAAGUAGUCUGUUUGUAUGGUAUACCUAGAACUAUUGUUUCUGAUAGAGAUUCUAAGUUCCUUAGUCAUUUCUAGCGUGUUUUUUUGGGAGAAAUUGAUACUAAACUUUUAUUUUCUACUACUUGUCAUCCACAAACAGAUGGCCAAACUGAAUUUAUUAAUAGGACUUUAGGAACUAUGCUUUGUGUUAUUGUGGGUAAGAACUUGAAAACUUGGAAAGAAUGUUUGCCAUAUAUUAAAUUUGCUUAUAAUCGUGCUGUCCAUUCUUCUAUUGGUUAUUUAUCUUUUGAGAUUGUGUAUGGUUUUAAUCCAUUACCUGUAUUAGAUUUAAUGCCUUUACCUUUGAAUGGGUUGUCUAAUUUAGAUGGAAAAGCGAAGGCUAAAAUGGUUAAAUCAAUACACAUGAAAGCGCACAAGCAUAUUGAGAAGCGUAACAAGACAUAUGAGAAAUAAGCCAAUAAGGGUCACAAGAAAGUUGUAGUCAGACUAGGUGAUUUAGUUUGGAUCCAUAUGCGAAAGGAGAGGUUUCCUAAUCAAAGAAAAUAAAAAUUUGAUGCACGAGGAGAUAGACCAUAUUAAGUGCUGGAAUGGAUCAAUGAUAACACAUACAUAAUUGAUUUGCUAGGUGAGUUUGGUGUAAGUGCUACCUUUAAUGUUUCUGAUUUGUCUCCUUUUGAUUUUGGUAUAGAUUCGAGGACGAAUCCAUUUCAAGAGGGAGGGGAUGAUGUAAGCAUAACCAACAAUACAAAAAAUGAUGAGAUAGCAUUGCCUCAAGGACCAAUUAAAAGGUUGAGAUCCAAGAAGUUAAAGGAAGCACUUUAAGGAUUCAUAAAGGGAUAUGUUGAAGCUUUGUAAGUUCAUUUUGAAGUUGAAGAACAACCUGGCUAUUCCAAGUCAAUUCGGCCGAAUGUGUCCUUAUUGACGGUUUAAAUUUUGUAUUUGUAUCAACGGAUUCCUCAUCACUAAUUCAGUAAUGGGUAGUUAUCCAGUAAUAGGUAGUUAUUCAGUAGUAGAUAACCAGUAGUGGGUUAUUAUCCAGUAGUGGGUAGUUAACCAGUAGUGGGUAGUGGCAUAGAUCAUGGGUCUAUGCAUAAUAGUGGACAGUGGUAAAGAUCAUAGGUGUAAUACCCGGCUAAACUCUAGCGUCAGAAUUCCGACCUUCCGAUUGAAUUCCCGUUGGAAUCUGGAAUUCCCGAAGCUGGAAUCUCCUAAGAAGGGUAAAAUAAGGUUUUAUAAAAUGAAAAUUGAAAAUUUUGAGGUUUUAAGAAAGAAAUAAUAGAGUUUUGAGGAAAAUAGUUUUGGAAGGGAAAAACCAGGUUCGGCCGCUGAACCUUAAGUUUGGCUGCCAAAGGUGGUGCCGCUGAUAUAAGCACGACCAACAACACCAAAAAUGAUGAGUGUAACGACCCCAAAAUGGACCGUCACCGGCGCUAGGAUUCAAGUCGGCUUAAGGCCGCCAAAACACGUAGCAAGCCUGCUAUACUCUCUGAGUACCUGUAAAAUCUCAUACAUGGUCAUACAUUUUCUGUGAAAAUAAAAACUUUUCUCUGUACCAGGGCUUAACCUGUGCAUGCACUAUCUCUGUACUCUGUACCCCUGACUAGAGCUUGCUCUAGAUGGGUUAAUUCAUACCUGUUAAGCCUGGUUUUUCACAUACUCUGUAAAACAGUUCUAUGAACAAACCAUGUAUACACAAUAAUACAAUAACAAUUAAGUCAAGCACAACUCUAACUUUAUACACAACUGUUACAAUCUCUUUAAAUUUACAUGUCCACUAUAUUCUAUUACACAAUACUUCUCUCUUUCUGAACUCUGCUGGACUGUCCCUGUACACUGUACACUGAACCUGCAAAAACUGGGGUUAAGGGAGUGGGAUGAGCUCUAUAGCCCAGUGAGUAGAACAGUAAAACAAGUCAUGAACACCUGAUCUUAUAGAAUGCAUCAUAUCACAGACAAUCCACAUCAAGGGUAAACCUGUCACCACAUAGUCCCGGUAACUCUGCCGUGCCAGGGCGUAGAAUCGAGCACCUGAUCUUCCUGUCAUAUAUGUAUAUGUGUAUAUAACACCUCUGCACUUACCGUUUGCCAGGGCGUAGUCAAAGGCUCCUGGACUUUACUAGAUACCUGCCAGGGCAUAGUCAAAGGCUCCUGGACUUCUCUGUGCCAGGGCGUAGUCAAAGGCUCCUGGACUUCUCUCAGAGACUAUUAGAUCAUUCAGCAUUCACCCACAUCAACAAAUAACUAUGCAAUGCAGCAUAUUCGUGAAUUCUAAUGCAAUCAACCUACUAUAAACUCAUGAUGCAUGAACUAUGCUGAAAGCAGUUUAAUUCUUACUUAAAAGCAUUAAGUUUAGUUCCACUCACCUCUGGCUAGCUCAACUGACUUUGCAGGCUCUGACAAACUCUGGAGCAGUACUCACUGCUGCUCUCUCUGGUUCCUCUGGUCUGUAUAGGUACAGAUAAACUCAAAUGAGGGACCAAACUAGCUUAUGAACAACUCUAUUAAACUCCCCCAAGAAACCCCUUAAACUCACUCUAACAUCCAUGCAAAGCAUGCAAAGGAAGGCUGGACAGAACACUUUCGGCGGCAGGUUCGGCGGCCGAAAGUCCUCUCCAGAGACGAAACUCAAGCACCUUCGGCGGCCGAAUCUCUACUUUCGGCUGCCGAACCCUUUCGGGGGCAAGUUUCAGAGGCCAAAAGGCACUCUAGAGACGAAAGUCUCUAACCUUCGGCGGCACCUUCGGCGGCCGAACUUCCCUCCAGAGCUGAAAGUCCAAAAGCUCGGGGGCAAGCUUGGGCAGCCGAAGCCACCUCCUCAUGGGUUCGGCGGCCGAAUGUACCUUCGGCGGCCGAACCUGAGUUCAUUUGCAAGGCAGAAACUUGCUCUGCCUCUUGCCAAAAGCACCAAAACACAUUCAAACACAAACACCUCAAUUCCUUAACUUGCAUACACCCAAGUAUAUGCUCAAAGGGGUCAACAACUACCUAAAAACCCCAACAACACAAAACAUAUAACACAUAAUCAAGCUCUUCUCACAAAAUCACCAAAAACUCUCUUUUUAACCUAUUCAUGCAACUCUCUCCAUAAACCCCAUAAAUCCAUCAAAAAUCAUAAAAACAAGUUCAGGAUCUUCACUUACCUUUUGAAAUCAAGUAGAUGAAUGAUCCUAACGUGGAGUUUUGAAGCAACUCUUCUUCAAACUCUCCAAAAUUCACAACUUUGUGGUUAAAGCUCAAAGUCUUCAAAAUAACACAAAACUCAAUCAAAUCUUUGCAUGAUUUAAUGAAAACAUGAAGAAAACUCUACAAAGGACAGGGUCUCACCUCAGAAGACAAAAGAAAUGGUGAUCUUACCGCUUCAACCGACUGAGGGCCGUUUUAUAGGUGGCUGGCCAGACCACCUUCGGCGGCCACACGUGAAACCGAAAGCCAUGCAUGUUCGGCGGCCGAACCUGCCUUUUCUGCCUUGGUUCAUUUCACUCAAAAACUCAUUUCUUUUGCUUUCAAACUUGAUGAACAUAUCAAAAAAUGUUAGAAAAACAUAAAUCGAACCCUUCUAGAGACUUCCAACAUCCCGGAUCCCACCGGAAAGCAGAAUUCCGAUGCCGGACUCCAACCGGGUAUUACAUUCUCCCCCCCUUAAGAUCAUUCGUCCUCGAAUGAUCCUAAAACAAAUAACAAACACAUAAAAAGGAGGAAACUAACCUCAAAACAAAUAUGGAUACUGCUGAAGCAUCGAUUCUCGCGUCUCCCAGGUGCAUUCUUCUAGAUUAUGGUGGUUCCACAGAACUUUCACCAUUGAAAUUUCCUUAUUCCUUAGCUGCCUGAUCUGCGUGUCCAGAAUCCGCACUGGCUACUCUAUAUAGGUGAGAUCCCCAAGAAUCUCCACAUUAGGCUCACUCAAAACCUGAUUCGGAUCUGACACAAACUGCCGUAGCAUAGAAACAUGAAAUACCGGGUGAAUUCUCUCCAUAGAAGCAGGUAAAUCUAGCUUAUACGACACAUUCCCGAUCCUCUGCAAGAUCUCAAAGGGUCCGAUGUACCAUGGAGCUAACUUACCUUUUCUUCCAAACCGAACCACUCCUUUCAUUGGAGACACCUUCAGCAAUACCAUAUUCCCCUCCUGAAACUCUAACUGCUUUCUGCGAACGUCUGCAUAACUUUUCUGUCUGCUCUGAGCUGUUCUGAUUCUCUCUCUAAUCAUGGGCACCACUCUACUGGUAAUCUCUACUAACUCUGGCCCUGCAAGAGCCUUCUCUCCUACCUCUUCCCAACAAACAGGGGAUCUGCACUUCCUCCCAUACAAAGCUUCAUAAGGAGCCAUCCCUAUGCUAGCAUGAUGGCUGUUAUUGUAGGCAAACUCCACGAAAGGUAGAUGCUGCCUCCAAGAACCGCCAAAGUCUAACACACAAAGUCGAAGCAUAUCCUCUAUGGUCUGGAUGGUCCUCUCUGACUGUCCAUCAGUCUGUGGGUGGAAAGUAGUACUAAAAUCUAGUCUCAUGCCCAUCGCACUCUGCAGACUUCACCAAAAUCUGGAGGUAAACUGAGGUCCUCUGUCUGAGACUAUAGACACUGGAACUCCAUGCAAUCUCACUAUCUCAUCUAGAUACACCUGAGCCAACUUAUCCACAGAAUAGUUACUCCGAACUGGAAUGAAAUGAGCAGAUUUCGUGAGUCUGUCCACAAUCACCCAUAUAGAGUCUAUCCUGUUGGACGCUGCUGGUAGGCCCACUACAAAAUCCAUAGCUAUGUUCUCCCAUUUCCACUCUGGAAUCGGUAGUGGGUUAAGCAUUCCAGCUGGUUUCUGAUGCUCUAGUUUCACCCUCUGGCAAACUUCACAAGCUGUUACAAACUGCGCCACUUCUUUCUUCAUGGAUGGCCACCAAUAGACCCUCUUCAGAUCCUGAUACAUCUUGGUGGCUCCUGGGUGAACACUAUACCUCGCAUUAUGAGCUUCCCUCAUAAUGUCUUCCUUCAGACUGCUACUAUCUGGUACACAAAGUCGACUCCCAUAGCGAAGGAUCCUUUGCUAUCACAUAUGAACUCUGCACUGUUGCCUGACUGAACAAUUUUGGCAAUUUUCAUCAACUCAGGGUCCUUGUGUUGUUUCUGAGCUAUCUGCUCUAGAAACACAGGUGUCACUCUCAUCUGUGCUAUCAAUGCACCUGUACCAGAUAACUCUAACUGUAACCCUUCUUCUAAGAGCUUGUAAAGCUCCAUCACAACUGGUCUCCGCUCUGCUGCUAUAUGGGCUAAACUGCCUAGUGACUUCCGGCUUAGGGCGUCUGCCACAAUAUUCGCCUUACCCGGAUGAUACUGGAUCUUACAAUCAUAAUCACUGAGCAAUUCUACCCAUCUUCUCUGCCUCAAAUUCAGUUCUCUCUGACUCAAGAUAUACUGUAAACUCUUGUGAUCAGUGAAGAUCUCGCAUUUAACCCCAUAGAGGUAAUGCCGCCACAUCUUGAGUGCAAAAAUAACUACUGCCAUCUCAAGGUCAUGGGUGGGGUAAUUCAACUCGUGCUUCUUCAACUGUCUAGAAGCAUAAGCAAUCACCCUAUCACUCUGCAUCAAAACACAACCUAAUCCCACUCGAGAUGCAUCACAGAACACUGUGAAAUCCUCAUUACUGACAGGCAGAGCUAACACUGGUGCUGAUGUCAAUCUCCUCUUGAGCUCCUCAAAGCUCUCUUCACACUGGUCUGACCAGACAAACUUCUAGUUCUUCUGAGUCAGUUUGGUCAUAGGGGCCGCUAUCUUUGCAAAGUCCUGAAUGAACCUCCUGUAGUAACCUGCCAGUCCCAGAAAGCUUUUAAUCUCAGUCACUGUAGUGGGUCUGCGCCAGUUAGCUACAGCCUCUAUCUUCUUGGGGUCUACCUCAAUACCCUCUGCUGAUACUACAUGUCCCAAGAAGGAAAUUCUCCUCAACCAAAACUCACACUUAGAGAACUUGGCGUAUAACCCAUGCUCUCUUAGUGUCUGCAGAACUAUCCUCAGAUGCUGGGCAUGCUCCUCUGCAUCUCUGGAAUACACCAAGAUAUCGACAAUGAAAACAAUAACAAAGUGAUCCAGAUACUCGCUGAAAACUCUGUUCAUGAGAUCCAUGAAUGCUGCAGGGGCAUUAGUCAACCCGAACGGCAUCACUAAGAACUCAUAAUGCCCAUAUUUGGUCCUGAAAGCUGUCUUUGGCACAUCUGCCUCUCUGACUCUCAACUGAUGAUACCCGGACCUCAGAUCUAUUUUAGAGAAACAACCUGCUCCAGCUAGCUGGUCAAAUAGAUCAUCAAUCCUAGGUAGAGGAUACCUAUUCUUGGUAGUGACCGUGUUCAACUGUCUGUAGUCGAUACAAAGUCUGAGGGAUCCAUCCUUCUUUCUGAAAAAAAGCACUGGAGCACCCCAAGGUGAGGUACUAGGGCGGAUGUAACCCUUGUCUACCAAGUCCUGCAACUGAUUCUUCAACUCUUUUAACUCUUCUGGUGCCAUCCUGUAGGGAGGAAUAGAGAUAGGUCUGGUACCAGGCAUCAAUUCUAUUUCAAACUCUAUCUCCCUAUCAGGUGGUAGUCCUGGAAGUUCGUCUGGGAACACAUCUGGAAACUCUCGAACAAAUGGUAUCGCUGCUGGUUCCCUAACCUGACUGUCUAGCUCUCUCACAUGAGCUAGAAACCCCUGACAACCCCUCCUAAGCAAACGAUGAGCCUGAAGGGCUGAAAUCAAACCUCUGGGUGUACCUCUCCUGUCUCCCCUGAAGACACACUCUGACCCAUCCUGGUCUCUGAGACUAACUAUCUUCUCUCUACAGUCCAAAGUAGCACUAUAUGCAGAUAGCCAAUCCAUUCCUAGAAUGACAUCAAAAUCUAUCAAGUCUAGAACCACAAGGUCAGCUGGAAGGCAUCUACCCUCUAUGAACACUGGACUGAAACGACAGACUGACGCUGCCACCGAUGGGUCACACUUGUGUCCACUGACCCAGAUAGGAUACUUUAACUCAAAACUGAUCAAACGCAAUCUCUCUAUGGCUCUCGAAGCAAUAAAGGAAUGAGAAGCACCGGGGUCCAUCAAAGCAUACACAUCUGAACACCCAAUGAUGAGAUUACCUGACACCACUGUGUUCGAUGUGUUCGCCUCCUCCUGUGUCAAAGUGAAAAUCCGUGCUGGGGCUACCGGAUUUCCACCUCGGGAACCUGCUGUUGAAGUAGAGGCUGCCCCUCUCCCUCUACCUCUGCCACUACUCGGAGGCAUGACUGGAGCUGCUGGCUGUGCUACUGGCUGUACCACACUGCCUGAACUCAUCUGCUGGGAGGGUGCCUCAAAAGUCCCCUGAGGACAAUCCCGAGCAAUAUGCCCUUCCUGUCCACAUCUAAAACAAGCAGUAGAUCCCAAUCGACAAGUUCCUCCAUGUGGUCUUCCGCAUCUCCUGCAUACGGGAUAAGCUGUGCCAGAGCUGGAGCCACUACCUAUUCCCAGACUCGACUUGGCUUUACUCCAGAACUUAUUCUUUAACCCUUUUGCUCUAUCCCAUCUCUUGCUGCCUGACGUGCCUGAACUGGGGGCCUUAGAACCCAAAGCCUGUGCCUUUGACUAUUUCUGAAUAUUGGCACUAGCUUCCAUUUUCCUGGCUGCGUCCACUAUAGAGUGGAAACUCUCCUUUUCUACUGGAAGAAUCAAGGAAGAAUACCUGGGAUGCAGUCUCAUAGUAUAUCUCCUUGCCUUCUUCUGAUCAGUAUCAUAGGCUUGACCCACAUACUGAAGCAAAUCUAGGAACUUAUCUGUAAAUUCAUCAACACUCAUCUCAUCUGUCUGUCGCAACUGUUCAAACUCUAUUACCUUCAUCUCCCUAGAACUGUAAGGAAAAGCCCACCCUGCAAACUCAUUGGCGAACUCUCCCCAUGACAUGCUGUCCAUUCUAGGCUCCACAUAAUUCUUGAACCAUUCUCUGGCUUUCUUGCAUUUCAAUGUGAAACCCGCCAUUUCAAUGGCCCUACUGUCAUUUGCUCCCAACUCACUAGUUAUCAUCCUAACUGAUCUGAGGUAUUCAAAUGGAUCAUCUCCUGUAUUGUAUUUAGGAGCAUCCAAUUUCAAGUACUCUGUCAUCUUCACUUUACUUCCCCCAGAUGAGCUAGGUUGCUGCAUUUGAACUACGGGAGCUACUGGUUCUGGUGGUGGUGGUGGUUCAUUUGGCUCUGGGUGUGUUGCACUUGGAUGAAUAGGGGAGGGUGGAUACAUAGGAUAUGGUGGGUAAUAUGGAGGAUAAGGCAUAUAUGGCAUGUAUGUAGGAUAUGGGACAAAACGAGAGUACUCCGACAUACCUUCCAUCGGAUACCCUGGGUCCUGGGAAAAAACUGGAUAACCAAAACCUGAGGUCUGAGCGCCUCCCUGGGAUUCUCCCAUACUUUCUUCAGAUCUACCCAUGCCCAUACUUUCAUCUCUAGACUGAUCAAUCUCCAUGGCCUCCCUCACUUCCUCUAAUCUUUCUCCUCUCACAGUGCCUCUUCUGCUCUCGUCUACAGACCUUCUAGGGUCUAUUGACGUACCUUCCCUGCUAGAUCUCUGUGACCUUGCCCUUGGCAAUGCAGGAGGACAUGCAGCUAUUCUCUCACUAUCUGGUGGGACUCCAGUCAAUCGAGCUGAUCGACGAGUUCCUCUCAUCUUAACUCUGGAAAACAAAGCAUAUAAUAUAGCACUUUAGCACAUAAACAUCACAUAUCAAUAAUGCACAUGCAUAAGUCAUGGCAUUUCACAACAUUAAAUAGAUAGGACUCAACACCCUAUCCUAGUGGACAUGUUUUCCUAUUGUGCUUGACCACUUUUAACCUCUAUGAGCCCGACACUCUCUCUAUAGGUCCGAUCAUGUGAACCUAGGGCUCUGAUACCAAUCUGUAACGACCCCAAAAUGGACCGUCACCGGCGCUAGGAUUCAAGUCGACUUAAGGCCGCCAAAACCCGUAGCAAGCCUGCUAUACUCUCUGAGUACCUGUAAAAUCUCAUACAUGGUCAUACAUUUUCUGUGAAAAUAAAAACUUUUCUCUGUACCAGGGCUUAACCUAUGCAUGCACUAUCUCUGUACUCUGUACCCCUGACUAGAGCUUGCUCUAGAUGGGUUAAUUCAUACCUGUUAAGCCUGGUUUUUCACAUACUCCGUAAAACAGUUCUAUGAACAAACCAUGUAUACACAAUAAUACAAUAACAACUAAGUCAAGCACAACUCUAACUUUAUACACAACUGUUACAAUCUCUUUAAAUUUAUAUGUCCACUAUAUUCUAUUACACAAUACUUCUCUCUUUCUGAACUCUGCUGGACUGUCCCUGUACACUGUACACUGAACCUGCAAAAACUGGGGUUAAGGGAGUGGGAUGAGCUCUAUAGCCCAGUGAGUAGAACAGUAAAACAAGUCAUGAACACCUGAUCUUGUGGAAUGCAUCAUAUCACAGACAAUCCACAUCAAGGGUAAACCUGUCACCACAUAGUCCCGGUAACUCUGCCGUGCCAGGGCGUAGAAUCGAGCACCUGGUCUUCCUGUCAUAUAUGUAUAUGUGUAUAUAACACCUCUGUACUUACCGUUUGCCAAGGCGUAGUCAAAGGCUCCUGGACUUUACUAGAUACCUGCUAGGGCGUAGUCAAAGGCUCCUGGACUUCUCUAUGCCAGGGCGUAGUCAAAGGCUCCUGGACUUCUCUCAGAGACUAUUGGAUCAUUCAGCAUUCACCCACAUCAACAAAUAACUAUGCAAUACAGCAUAUUCGUGAAUUCUAAUGCAAUCAACCUAUUAUAAACUCAUGAUGCAUGAACUAUGCUGAAAGCAGUUUAAUUCUCACUUAAAAGCAUUAAGUUUAGUUCCACUCACCUCUGGCUAGCUGAACUGACUCUGCAGGCUCUGACAAACUCUAGAGCAGUACUCACUACUGCUCUCUCUGGUUCCUCUGGUCUAUAUAGGUACAGAUAAACUCAAAUGAGGGACCAAACUAGCUUAUGAACAACUCUAUUAAACUCCCCCAAGAAACCCCUUAAACUCACUCUAACAUCCAUGCAAAGCAUGCAAAGGAAGGUUGCACAGAACACUUUCGGCGGCAGGUUCGGCGGCCGAAAGUCCUCUCCAGAGACGAAACUCAAGCACCUUCGGCGGCCGAAUCUCUACUUUCGACUGCCAAACCCUUUCGGGGGCAAGUUUCGGAGGCCAAAAGGCACUCUAGAGACGAAAGUCUCUAACCUUCGGCGGCACCUUCGGCGGGCGAACUUCCCUCCAGAGCCGAAAGUCCAAAAGCUAGGGGGCAAGCUUGGGCAGCCGAAGCCACCUCCUCAUGGGUUCGGCGGCCGAAUGUACCUUCGGCGGCCGAACCUGAGUUCAUCUGCAAGGCAGAAACUUGCUCUGCCUCUUGCCAAAAGCACCAAAACACAUUCAAACACAAACACCUCAAUUCCUUAACUUGCAUACACCCAAGUAUAUGCUCAAAGGGGUCAACAACUACCUAAAAACCCCAACAACACAAAACAUAUAACACAUAAUCAAGCUCUUCUCACAAAAUCACCAAAAACUAUCUUUUUAACCUAUUCAUGCAACUCUCUCCAUAAACCCCAUAAAUCCAUCAAAAAUCAUAAAAACAAGUUCAGGAUCUUCACUUACCUUUUGAAAUCAAGUAGAUGAAUGAUCCUAACGUGGAGUUUUGAAGCAACUCUUCUUCAAACUCUCCAAAAUUCACAACUUUGUGGUUAAAGCUCAAAACCUUCAAAAUAACACAAAACUCAAUCAAAUCUUUGNNNNNNNNNNNNNNNNNNNNNNNNNNNNNNNNNNNNNNNNNNNNNNNNNNNNNNNNNNNNNNNNNNNNNNNNNNNNNNNNNNNNNNNNNNNNNNNNNNNNNNNNNNNNNNNNNNNNNNNNNNNNNNNNNNNNNNNNNNNNNNNNNNNNNNNNNNNNNNNNNNNNNNNNNNNNNNNNNNNNNNNNNNNNNNNNNNNNNNNNNNNNNNNNNNNNNNNNNNNNNNNNNNNNNNNNNNNNNNNNNNNNNNNNNNNNNNNNNNNNNNNNNNNNNNNNNNNNNNNNNNNNNNNNNNNNNNNNNNNNNNNNNNNNNNNNNNNNNNNNNNNNNNNNNNNNNNNNNNNNNNNNNNNNNNNNNNNNNNNNNNNNNNNNNNNNNNNNNNNNNNNNNNNNNNNNNNNNNNNNNNNNNNNNNNNNNNNNNNNNNNNNNNNNNNNNNNNNNNNNNNNNNNNNNNNNNNNNNNNNNNNNNNNNNNNNNNNNNNNNNNNNNNNNNNNNNNNNNNNNNNNNNNNNNNNNNNNNNNNNNNNNNNNNNNNNNNNNNNNNNNNNNNNNNNNNNNNNNNNNNNNNNNNNNNNNNNNNNNNNNNNNNNNNNNNNNNNNNNNNNNNNNNNNNNNNNNNNNNNNNNNNNNNNNNNNNNNNNNNNNNNNNNNNNNNNNNNNNNNNNNNNNNNNNNNNNNNNNNNNNNNNNNNNNNNNNNNNNNNNNNNNNNNNNNNNNNNNNNNNNNNNNNNNNNNNNNNNNNNNNNNNNNNNNNNNNNNNNNNNNNNNNNNNNNNNNNNNNNNNNNNNNNNNNNNNNNNNNNNNNNNNNNNNNNNNNNNNNNNNNNNNNNNNNNNNNNNNNNNNNNNNNNNNNNNNNNNNNNNNNNNNNNNNNNNNNNNNNNNNNNNNNNNNNNNNNNNNNNNNNNNNNNNNNNNNNNNNNNNNNNNNNNNNNNNNNNNNNNNNNNNNNNNNNNNNNNNNNNNNNNNNNNNNNNNNNNNNNNNNNNNNNNNNNNNNNNNNNNNNNNNNNNNNNNNNNNNNNNNNNNNNNNNNNNNNNNNNNNNNNNNNNNNNNNNNNNNNNNNNNNNNNNNNNNNNNNNNNNNNNNNNNNNNNNNNNNNNNNNNNNNNNNNNNNNNNNNNNNUUAUUCUAAUACUCUUAGAAUAGUAUUUCCAGUGUUUUACUUCUGUCCAUAUAAAAAAAAAAAUCAAAACAAGAAGAAAAAAAAAAGGAAAAAAAAAAGAAUUUCUGCCACUUUGGUUCAUUUGUUCAAACUUCAUUUUGAUUGAUAUCUACUGAUAUAAAUCAUAUUUCAUAUACCUUGAAUAUAUUUCUGGGCUUGGAAUUCGAAAUACAUGUUUAGGGUAGGUUUAGGACAAAUUUGGGUAGUAUUUUCACAAAACAGUUGUACUUAAUACUUGCUGUUUUAAGUGUCUAUUUUGUUUGUUUGAUUUGAAUUAAUUUUGUUGAGUCAAUAUUAAUAUCAGUUGACCUAGGAUUGCAUGCUUAGGGAAAAUUUCGUGUUAAGCACAUCCGUCUUGUCAAUUUUUGAUUCUUAGUUUGUCAAUUUGGUGUCUUUCUGUCUGUUGGUUCCUUACAUUUAGUUUGACAAAUUGCACAUUGUUGAACAUCUAAUUACACUUAGUACACGAAAUUUAACUUUUGUGUGCUAAAUCAAUCUAUUUGUUCAUUUUGGUCAGUUUGCAUCUAGUGUUGUUUCCUAUCUUUUCUUCUUAGGUCUUUCCUUGCUUUCCUUAUUAUUUGAAUCAUACAAGCUUGGCUUAUUGAGUCUUUAUUCUGAAGUGCACUUUUGAGAUACCAAGUGAGUGCUUGAAAAUUAAACACGUGAGUUGAAAGAAUUGUGAAUUUUUUUUUUCUAUAAUGUCUAGGCAUAAUACUGGUGAUACUUCUGACCCUACAUUUGAUCUUAAAGAUAUAUAUAAAGCUUUCAUGGAUAGCUUUUAGAAGCUAAAUUCGAGAAUGGAUAACCUUGAGGACAACCUUAGAUCUUCAAAGGGCAAGUCCAUUCAGAGGCAUGAUGAUACACACGAUCCAUCCUAUGAAGAGGAAAAUGAGGCACAAUCAGCCCCUGUCCGAGUCAGAAGGUUCAAUGAUGGUGUACCAUAUGUAGAUAACAAUAUGAACUCCAUAAAGAUGAAGAUUCCAAGCUUCAAUGGUAAGGCUGAUGUUGAUGCCUAUUUAGAGUGGAAGCAUAAAGUGGAGAUGGUUUUUAACUGUCAAAACUAUUCCGAUGAUAAAAAGGUAAAACUUGCUGCCCUUGAGUUUUCAGAUUAUGCACUAAUAUGGUGGGAUGAGCUUGUGAAAUCUAGGAGAAGGAAUGGAGAGUUACCCAUUGCUAGUUGGGAUGAGAUGAAGCGAAUAAUGAGGAAGAAAUAUGUGCCUACUUAUUACCAUAGAGAUCUCCAUCAUCAGUUGUAAAGACUAAUCCAAGGAUCAAAAUCUGUUGAUGAGUAUUAUAAGGAGAUGGAGUUGCUCCUGAUCAAAGCAAACAUAGUGGAGGAGGAAGACCAGACUAUGGCUCGUUUCUUUGGUGGUCUUAACAAGGAGAUUGCUGAUGUGGUUGAUUUGCAACCAUAUGUUGAUUUGGAAGACUUGGUGAACAUUACAAUUAAGGUGGAAAGACAAAGAGGUCGAAAUAGAUGGGGGAGCAAUAGGGCUGCUCAAAACUCCAACAGCAAAUGGGGUUCCAAAUGGAACACCAAGCCUGAUCCUAAAAGGUUUGAAAAGUCUUCAACUCAAAAAGGCAUGUUACCUUCCAAAGAAACAUCUAACUCUCAUGGUAAAAAUGAAUCAGCCCCUAAAUCAAAUAGAACUAGAGAUAUUCAGUGCUUUAAAUGUAAAGGGCGUGGGCAUUAUGCCAAUGAGUGUGCUAAUAAACGUGCUAUGAUAGUGAGGGGAGAUGAGAUAGUCUCCGAAAGUGAUUCUAAUUCUGAUGAAGUACCACCUUUAGAAGAUUGUUCUGAUGUAGAGAUAGAAGAGUAUCCUGUUCAAGGAGAGUCCUUAGUGAUAUUGCGUACUUUAAAUGUUUCUAUUAAAGAAGAGGGACUUGAACAGCGUGAAAACAUCUUUCACACUCGUUGUUUGGUAGGUGGUAAAGUCUGUAGCAUGAUAAUAGAUUUGGGUAGUCAAGUUAAUUGUGCUAGUACUAUUUUAGUUGAUAAAUUAGGACUAGAAACUAUUAAACACCCUAAUCCUUACAGACUUCAGUGGUUGAAUGAUAGCGGCGAGGCAAAGGUAACAAGCAAUGUAAAGUGUCAUUUUCUAUUGGCAAAUAUGUAGAUGAGGUUACUUGUGAUAUUGUACCCAUGCAGGCUGGACAUAUUUUGUUAGGUAGACCAUGGCAAUUUUAUAGGCGUGUCAUUCAUGAUGGGUAUAAUAAUAGGUUUUCUUUUACGUUCCUCGGUGUAAAACAUAUACUUGUACCAUUAUCUCCUAAAGAUGUAUAUGCAGAUCAAGUGAAAUUACAACAAUAUGCUAAAUUGGGUAAGGGAGGUGAGACAAGUAAAAAGAAUGAGGGAAAAGAGGCCAGCAGUAAAAUGAAAGUUUCGAAUGGCCCAAAGGAGAGUGACUGCACGGGAAAGGAUAAAAAUGAGAGAUGUGCAGGAGAGAAAACGUUAGUGAGUGUGGAGGUAAAAGGAGAGCUGAGUGAGAAGAGUGAAGAAUUCAACAAGUCUUCCUUUUAUUAUAAAGAGAGAGAGCUGAAGAAAGCAUACUUAGGGAAGAGAGCUUUGAUUAUAUUGCGUUUUAGUUCCAAUUUUAUGAUUGAGACUAACCCUACUGUUGAAUUGCCUAGUUCUUUUUCUAAGUUAUUGCAGGAGUUUGUGGAGGUAUUUCCUGAGGAGGUGCCAUCUGGGUUGCCACCCAUUAGGGGAAUAGAACAUCAAAUUGAUUUUGUUCCUAGAGCUCAGAUUUCAAACCGUCCAGCUUACCGUAGCAAUCCUGAGGAGACGAAGGAAUUGCAAAAGCAAGUUGAUGAGUUGCUAGCUAAGGGACAUAUCAGGGAGAGCCUUAGUCCAUGCGCAGUACCUGUUUUGUUGGUUCCAAAGAAAGAUGGAACAAUGCGCAUGUGUGUUGAUUGUCGUGCGAUCAACAAAAUCACUGUAAAGUAUCGCCAUCCUAUUCCUAGAUUAGAUGAUAUGCUUGAAGAAUUAUGUGGUGCUAUUUUCUUUACAAAAAUUGAUUUGAAAAGCGGUUAUCAUCAAAUUAGGAUGAAGUUAGGUGAUGAGUGGAAAACUGCCUUUAAGACAAAAUAUGGUUUAUAUGAAUGGUUAGUCAUGCCUUUUGGCUUAACUAAUGCAUCUAGCACAUUUAUGAGAUUGAUGAACCAUGUUUUGCGUGAUUACCUAGGUAAGUUUAUGGUUGUGUAUUUUGAUGAUAUAUUGAUUUAUAGCCGAAACAUAGAUGACCACAUUAGGCAUGUUGAACUUGUUUUACAGAAGUUGCGUGAACAUGAAUUGUAUGCUAAUCUUAAGAAAUGCACAUUUUGUACUGAUAGUGUCAUAUUCCUAGGAUUUAUUAUUAGUUCACGUGGAGUUGAGGUAGAUAUUGAAAAGGUUAAGGCUAUCCAAGAAUGGCUUACACCUAAGAAUGCUAAUGAGGUGAGAUCCUUUCAUGGAUUAGCAAGCUUCUAUAGGAGGUUUGUUAGAGAUUUCAGCACUAUUGCUGCACCUCUAAAUGAGAUUAUUAAAAAGGCUGUUGGGUUUAAGUGGGGUAAAGAACAGGAACUUGCAUUUAACACAUUGAAAGAAAAACUUACUACCGCUCCUGUUUUAAGGUUACCUGCUUUUUCUAAAACCUUUGAAAUUGAAUGUGAUGCUUCUGGGAUUGGUAUUGGUGCUGUUCUUAUGCAGGAAGGCCAACCCAUAGCAUAUUUUAGUGAGAAGUUAGGUGGCACACAAUUGAACUAUUCCACCUAUGACAAAGAGUUCUAUGCACUGAUUAGGGCUCUUGAAGUUUGGGACCACUACUUGCUGCCUAAUGAGUUUGUGAUUCAUACCGACCAUCAGUCUGUCAAACACUUGAAGGGACAAGGGAAGUUGAACAAGCGGUAUGGUAAGUGGGUUGAAUAUCUUGAAAUCUUUCCUUAUGUGAUUAAAUAUAAGCAAGGUAAAGAGAAUGUGAUUGCCGAUGCAUUAUCUAGACGUUAUGCAUUGACUUCCAUGCUUAGUUCUAAGUUGUUAGGAUUUGAGCAUUUGAAAGAUAUGUAUGAGAAUGAUACUGAUUUUUCUGAUGUAUUUAAGGCAUGUGAACAUGGGGCAUUUAAAAAGUUUUAUUUGCAUGAUGGGUUUCUUUUUAGAGGGAAACAAAUAUGCAUACCUAAUUGUACAGUGCGUGAGUUGCUUGUUAGAGAAUCACAUUCAGGAGGAUUAAUGGGACAUUUUGGUGUGCAAAAGACUUUAGACAUGUUGAAUGAACACUUUUAUUGGCCUAACAUGCGAAAAUAUGUAGAGAAAAUUUAUGCUCAAUGCUUUGCAUGUAAACAGGCUAAAUCUAAGUCCUUGCCACAUGAGUUGUAUACUCCUUUGCUUGUACCUACUAAACCUUGGACUGAUAUAUCUAUGGAUUUUGUGAUAGGUUUACCUAGGACAAAAAGAGGUAGAGAUUCAGUGUUUGUUAUUGUAGAUCGCUUUAGCAAGAUGGCACAUUUUAUUCCAUGUCAUAAAACUGAUGAUGCAACGAACAUAGCUGAUUUGUUUUUCAGGGAAGUAGUCCGUUUGCAUGGUAUACCUAGGACUAUUGUUUCUGAUAGAGAUUCUAAGUUCCUUAAUCAUUUCUGGCGUGUUUUGUGGGGGAAAUUGGGUACUAAACUUUUAUUUUCUACUACUUGUCAUCCACAAACAGAUGGCCAAACUGAAGUUGUUAAUAGGACUUUAGGAACUAUGCUUCGUGCUAUUGUGGGUAGGAACUUGAAAACUUGGGAAGAAUGUUUGCCAUAUGUUGAAUUUGCUUAUAAUCGAGCAGUCCAUUCUUCUACUGGUUAUUCACCUUUUGAGGUUGUGUAUGGUUUUAAUCCAUUAACUGUACUAGAUUUAAUGCCUUUACCUUUGAACGAGUUGUCUAAUUUAGAUGGAAAAGCGAAGGCUGAAAUGGUUAAAUCAAUACACGUGAAAGCGCGUGAGCAUAUUGAGAAGCGUAACAGCAUAUAUGAGAAACAGGCCAAUAAGGGUCGCAAGAAAGUUGUAUUCAAACAGGGUGAUUGGGUUUGGAUCCAUAUGCGAAAGGAAAGGUUUUCAACUCAAAGGAAAUCAAAACUCGAUGCACGAGGGGAUGGACCAUAUCAAGUGCUGAAACAGAUCAAUGACAAUGCAUACAUAAUUGAUCUGCCAGGUGAGUUUGGUGUAAGUGCUACCUUUAAUGUUUCUGAUUUGUCUCCUUUUGAUUUUGGUACAGAUUCGAGGACGAAUCCUUUUCAAGAGGGAGGGGAUGAUGUAAGCACGACCAACAACACCAAAAAUGAUGAGCUAGCAUUGCCUCAAGGAGCAAUUACAAGGCUGAGAUCCAAGAGGUUGAAGGAAGCACUUCAAGGAUUCAUGAAGGAAUAUGUUGAAGCUUUGCAAGUUCAUUUUGAAGUUGAAGAACAAUCUGGUCAUUCCAAGUCAAUUAGGCCAAAUGUGUCCUUAUUGACAAUUCAAAUUUUGUAUUUAU